AAAAGUUUGAUUCUUGCUUAGGUUUCUGUUUUAUAGUUAAAAAUUAUAUGUAAGUUUUGGUGGGGAGUUUAUAGGAAGUUAAAUACUUUUAUGAGGAAGGAGUAGAGUGUAUAGCUCUGAAUAAUUAAAUCGCAGUAAAAAAUAUUGAAAAAUGAGGGGUAGCUUGAUUCGGUAAAUUAUAAAAAAUCUGAUAAAAUUUUGUGCCAGCAGUCGCGGUUAGACUUAGAGGUUGAAUAGAAAUAUAUUGGUAUAAGUUAUUUUUGGUUUAAUAAAUGUACUUUGUUCUGCAGGGAAUAAAAGGUGAAAUUGAUUGUUAUAUGAAGGAUUAAGGUAAUUUUAAAAUUGGAAGAAGCUUGUAAAGUUGGGAAAUAAACUAGGAUUAGAUACCCUAUUAUACUCAAAUAAAAUUAUAAGGCCAGAAUAUUAAUAGAUAUGUUCUUAAAAUUUAAAGAAUUUGGCGGUAUUUUAGUCUAGUUAGAGGAACCUGUUUCAUAAAUGAUACUACACGUAAUAUCUUACUAAUUUUUGUAUAGUUUGUAUACCGUCAUUAUUAGAUAAUUUUUAUAGAACAAAUUGUUGAAAUUAGGAAUUUUAAGGAUAUUAGAUCAAGGUGCAGCUUAUGAAUUAGCGAGAAUGGGUUACAAUAAAAUUUAUUUACACGAAUUGAUUUUAGAAAAUAAUUAUGAAGGAGGAUUUAAUUGUAAUAGAAAUUUAAUAAGUUUUAAUGAUAUAAGUACUAAAUUAUGUACAUAUUGCCCGUCGCUUUCAUUUAAGGUGGAAUAAGUCGUAACAUAGUAGAUACACUGGAAAGUAUAUCUAGAAAUAAG
rnacentral:ncRNA from 1 species